rnacentral:rRNA from 1 species
CUGGUGGCGUGCUUAACACAUGCAAGUCGAACGGUGAAGCCCAGCUUGCUGGGUGGAUCAGUGGCGAACGGGUGAGUAACACGUGAGCAACCUGCCCCCCACUUCGGGAUAAGCCUUGGAAACGAGGUCUAAUACCGGAUACGAGCAUUCACCGCAUGGUGGGUGUUGGAAAGUUUUUCGGUGGGGGAUGGGCUCGCGGCCUAUCAGCUUGUUGGUGGGGUAAUGGCCUACCAAGGCGUCGACGGGUAGCCGGCCUGAGAGGGCGACCGGCCACACUGGGACUGAGACACGGCCCAGACUCCUACGGGAGGCAGCAGUGGGGAAUAUUGCACAAUGGGCGAAAGCCUGAUGCAGCGACGCCACGUGAGGGAUGACGGCCUUCGGGUUGUAAACCUCUUUCAGCAGGGAAGAAGCGAGAGUGACGGUACCUGCAGAAGAAGCGCCGGCUAACUACGUGCCAGCAGCCGCGGUAAUACGUAGGGCGCAAGCGUUGUCCGGAAUUAUUGGGCGUAAAGAGCUCGUAGGCGGUCUGUCGCGUCUGGUGUGAAAUCCCAUGGCUCAACUGUGGGCUUGCAUCGGGUACGGGCAGACUAGAGUGCUGUAGGGGAGACUGGAAUUCCUGGUGUAGCGGUGGAAUGCGCAGAUAUCAGGAGGAACACCGAUGGCGAAGGCAGGUCUCUGGGCAGUUACUGACGCUGAGGAGCGAAAGCAUGGGGAGCGAACAGGAUUAGAUACCCUGGUAGUCCAUGCCGUAAACGUUGGGCACUAGGUGUGGGGCGGGUUCCACUCGUUCUGUGCCGCAGCUAACGCAUUAAGUGCCCCGCCUGGGGAGUACGGCCGCAAGGCUAAAACUCAAAGGAAUUGACGGGGGCCCGCACAAGCGGCGGAGCAUGCGGAUUAAUUCGAUGCAACGCGAAGAACCUUACCAAGGCUUGACAUGUACGA